AAUGAAGUUAAAAAGAUCAGAACAGAUGUAGAAGCACUGCUCAUUGUAGAAGCAUUAUACCAUGGGAAUUUCGUCUGUUGUCAGUGUUGUGACGCUGAGGUGGUGGCUUUUUGGUGAAGACGAAAAGGGGAGAACAUAACGUGAAUUUCGUGCCAGUUAGUGAAAGCCGAAAGGCAUGUCGAAUUCAAGUUGAGCUGCUGCGUGCAGCGUGCUGUCUCUGGAAGCAAGCAAUCCAGCCGUUGCGUCCUGUCAUUUGAACAGGAAUCUAAUGGCUGUCAGUAGGUGGCUGUGAAUAAGUGGCUGAAAUAAUGUCCACCAGGUGGUGCGAGUGUCUUCAGGGACAGGAAGCAAAGGGGCCAUUUUGUUCCAAGACGCAGCAGAAAUGGGUUGUUGGUUGUGACGUUUCUCACGAUGAAAAUUAAAAGGUGAUGUAGCAUGUAGAAACCAAUUUGCCAAAUCAUUCAACUCGGACUUGGAAGUGCCUGUACAUUUCCGAAAUGGCGUGCCUCGUGUGUCUUGCUGCCUGUUCUUUGGCUUACGUCUCACCCCAUUCAACAGCAAAAAGUAUAACAAACACUUCUUUGUUCAUCUUGUUGCAGCCAAAUGGUGAAAGGUGUGACGAAGACAGAUUGAACUGUUGUAUGCAGCAUGUGGUUGCAGUGUAAUCCAGAAGUUGCUGUGCUGUUGUAGCUGAGCUGUUCCAUCUGGGUUCCUGACUUCAAAAUUUUUGUGUUGUCGUUUUCAUCCGUGCCAUGAAAUUGCUCUGUGUUAACUGUGUGCUGAC